rnacentral:lncRNA from 1 species
CCUGCAUUUCCAUUCUUUGUGAGCGCUUAUACUCAAAAGUAGAUAUUAGGAAUAGGAAGUAAUGAAUGGAUUUCAGAAAGUACUGAAAUCAGACAAGGUGUAAUUUGGAUUUAUAUGUUUCUCAAUAUCAUUUGCUGAAAAACAUCCAGAUCAAAAUAAUUCAGUUCUUGAUUCCCAAAAGGCUUAUUUCAUCAAUCAUCAGCUAAAGCACAUGGUCUAGUAUUUGCAUGAAGUGAAAUUAAACUUAACUUAUUUCAUCAAUCAUCAGCUAAGCGCAUGGUCUAGUAUUUGCAUGAAGUCAAAUUAAACUUAAACCAGUUUCAUUGCAAUUGUCAAUUUAACAGUGAAUCCUGUUGAAAAGAUAUGAAAC